rnacentral:rRNA from 1 species
CCUACGGGUGGCUGCAGUGGGGAAUUUUCCGCAAUGGGCGAAAGCCUGACGGAGCAAUACCGCGUGAGGGAAGAAGGCUCUUGGGUUGUAAACCUCUUUUCUUAGGGAAGAAAAAAAUGACGGUACCUAAGGAAUCAGCAUCGGCUAACUCCGUGCCAGCAGCCGCGGUAAUACGGAGGAUGCAAGCGUUAUCCGGAAUGAUUGGGCGUAAAGCGUCCGCAGGUGGCAAUUCAAGUCUGCGGUUAAAGGUUCUGGCUCAACCAGAGACAAGCCGUGGAAACUGAAUAGCUAGAGUAUGGUAGGGGCAGAGGGAAUUCCCAGUGUAGCGGUGAAAUGCGUAGAGAUUGGGAAGAACACCGGUGGCGAAAGCGCUCUGCUAGGCCAAAACUGACACUGAGGG